ACUAUCCUAUUUGUGCAUGCGUGUGUGAAGCUGCUUGUCCGCAAUGUCUGUUUUCAACGUGUCGUUGUAGCCUACGUGUUUGAGCUGGGACCGGAGACCGGGGUCGGUACCCAGGGAGCUCCGGCCCUGAAAAGAGCGGGAUCCGUGCUGGCCAGCAGCCUGUCGCUAGUCGAGGUUUUCCCACUGAUUUGAAUUAUGUCCGUUCCCUUGCAGAAGAUAGAGCCUUUACAGAUCAUGUAGAAUACUUUUGGAUAGGCGAUGAUCACGAUUUGGUAGGCUAAACAGAUGAGAACGUUGCAGACAUGGAUCGUAGAAAGAGUAUGAUGAAUUAUUAUUAUGGGAGAUUGGUAGUGGGAUUCCGAUUCACUAAGAGUGUUUACUAUAUGUAAAAGUUAUGGAUAAGUUGUAUGGGUCUCUAACACAGAAGGUGCGUGUGUGUGUGUGUGUGUGUGUGUGUGUGUGUGUGUGUGUGUGUGUGUGUGUGUGUGUGUGUGUGUGUGUGUGUGUGUGUGUGUGUGUGUGUGUGUGUGUGUGUGUGUGUGCGUGAGAUGGGGGAAGGCGAGGGGGGCUUGUGUGUGUGUGUGUGUGUGUGUGUGUGUGUGUGUGUGUGUGUGUGUGUGUGUGUGUGUGUGUGUGUGUGUGUGUGUGUGUGUGUGUGUGUGUGUGUGUGUGUGUGU